rnacentral:lncRNA from 1 species
AUUUUCAUUUGUUUGAAUACUUAUUUUUAAGAUCUGAAUAUAGGCUUCCCCCACCAUGCCAAAUGAGCAUUGAUCUAGACUGUGUAGAGCUUUUGUUCUUGAAAUACAAAUUUGGCUAUUACUGACAAACUAACCAUAGUUAAUUUGGGGGUAUCAUGAAGUUGAUAGCAAGGGACAUGCUCUGAAAAAUAGCCAGACAACUGUAACUCUAUUAAAGGGUUUUUAUGCUUUACCUUUUGAACAGCACCUUCUUGAAUUACACUCAGAACUGAUUCAGUGCACCAGUGCAAUUUAUCUUCUUUUCUGUGUGUGUAAAGUAUGUACACAAAUCAGCUGUUUUCUACGUCAGUUAAUAUCAGUCACCUCUUGAUGAGCUUCUGAUAUGAUUCAAAAAUUGCAGCAAGGUGGAAAGAGAGAGAAAACCUUCCACGGGAACCAUGGUCUUCUAUUUAUUGAUUGAUUUACAUCCACUUGCUUUCCCCAACAAUUUCAGGUUGCUGAUAAUGAAUGUCCACUUUCAAAAAGACCGAAAUCAGUGACUACAGG